rnacentral:rRNA from 1 species
CAGCCGCCGCGGUAAUACCGGCGGCCCGAGUGGCGGUCACUAUUAUUGGGCUUAAAGCGUCCGUAGCCGGGUUGGGAAGUCCUCCGGGAAAUCUGGCCGCUUAACGGUCAGAAUGCCGGAGGAUACUCCCAGCCUAGGGAGCGGGAGAGGCCGAGGGGAUUCCCGGGGUCGGGGUGAAAUCCUAUAAUCCCGGGAGGACCACCUGUGGCGAAGGCGCUCGGCUGGAACGCGUCCGACGGUGAGGGACGAAGGCCAGGGGAGCAAACCGGAUUAGAUACCCGGGUAGUCCUGGCUGUAAACGAUGCGGACUUUGUGUCGGACAAGCUAUGAGCUUGUCCGGUGCCGGAGGGAAACCGUUAAGUCCGCCGCCUGGGGAGUACGGCCGCAAGGCUGAAACUUAAAGGAAUUGGCGGG